ACUCCUACGGGAGGCAGCAGUGGGGAAUAUUGGACAAUGGGCGCAAGCCUGAUCCAGCCAUGCCGCGUGAGUGAUGAAGGCCCUAGGGUUGUAAAGCUCUUUCACCGGUGAAGAUAAUGACGGUAACCGGAGAAGAAGCCCCGGCUAACUUCGUGCCAGCAGCCGCGGUAAUACGAAGGGGGCUAGCGUUGUUCGGAUUUACUGGGCGUAAAGCGCACGUAGGCGGACUAUUAAGUCAGGGGUGAAAUCCCGGGGCUCAACCCCGGAACUGCCUUUGAUACUGGUAGUCUUGAGUUCGAGAGAGGUGAGUGGAAUUCCGAGUGUAGAGGUGAAAUUCGUAGAUAUUCGGAGGAACACCAGUGGCGAAGGCGGCUCACUGGCUCGAUACUGACGCUGAGGUGCGAAAGCGUGGGGAGCAAACAGGAUUAGAUACCCGAGUAGUCC
rnacentral:rRNA from 1 species